rnacentral:rRNA from 1 species
GAUGAACGCUAGCUACAGGCUUAACACAUGCAAGUCGAGGGGAAACGAUAUUGGAAGCUUGCUUCCGAUAGGCGUCGACCGGCGCACGGGUGAGUAACGCGUAUCCAACCUGCCCACCACUUGGGGAUAACCUUGCGAAAGUAAGACUAAUACCCAAUGAUAUCUCUAGAAGACAUCUGAAGGAGAUUAAAGAUUCAUCGGUGAUGGAUGGGGAUGCGUCUGAUUAGCUUGUUGGCGGGGUAACGGCCCACCAAGGCGACGAUCAGUAGGGGUUCUGAGCGGAAGGUCCCCCACGUUGGAACUGAGACACGGUCCAAACUCCUACGGGAGGCAGCAGUGAGGAAUAUUGGUCAAUGGGCGAGAGCCUGAACCAGCCAAGUAGCGUGCAGGAUGACGGCCCUAUGGGUUGUAAACUGCUUUUAUAAGGGAAUAAAGUGAGUCUCGUGAGACUUUUUGCAUGUACCUUAUGAAUAAGGACCGGCUAAUUCCGUGCCAGCAGCCGCAGUAA